rnacentral:tRNA from 2 species
GGAAGUGUGGCCGAGUCCGGUUUAUGGCGCUAGUCUUGAAAACUAGAGUGGGUAACACCACCGGGGGUUCGAAUCCCUCCGCUUCCGC